CCUCAGUUAGCCUUCAACCUUCCAGAACACCAGAUCGAAAUGGGAUAGUUGUAUAUUUUUUGUCUCCGGUUUCGUAUCUUGGUGUAGGUAAAAUUCCAAAUUGUUGGUCGUGUUUUGGUCUGAUCGGACAGUACUCUUUUGCCAAUGUCCUCUGAAGACAGAGCUGCGGAAAUUUUUACGCCUGCGUCUGCCCCAACGGAAACAGUCGAAAAUACUGCCAGAAAAACCGUCAGCAAAUUAAGAGGAACGCAUAAAACUGUCCAUGUAUAAAUUCCUAUUUAAAAGAUGGUCGCGAAAGAAAACGUCCUCAAGGAAUCCUUCCGGGACGUGCAAUUCGUGGAUUUCCAUCGCCAUGGUUCCUUGAGCGCGUCAAAGAAGUCCUGACCAUCGCAAAUUUUGGAUUUUAUUUACUCGGAUUCCCAAAUGCUUAGAUUCUCAAGUACACGAAAUCCGAGAUACACGGAAUCCCAAAUACACGGAUUCCCAAAUACACGGAUUCCCAAAUACACGGAUUCCCAAAUACACGGAUUCCCAAAUACACGGAUUCCCAAAUACCCGGAUUUCCAGAUUCCCAAAUGAUUAGGUACUCAAAUACACGAAUUCCCAAAUACACCGAUUCCCAAAUACACGGAUUCCCCAAAUACACGGAUUCCCAAUCACACGGAUACUCGGAUUUCCAAAUACUCGGAUUCCAAAAUGCUCAGAUUCUUAGAUACACGAAUUCCCAAAUGCACGAAUUCCCAAAUACUCAAUUACAACAACAUACUAAGGUUCAUAUAUUUUUGUGACAUUACAUGCUUACAUUAAACUUCAAUAAAAAUAUGGAAUUGACACCCAAAAAAAUAUUACUUAAAA